UGAUGAUAUUUAACUAGCACGAAGGUGGGUGCCAACAUACUGCAAGACCACUAGAGCAGUCGAGGACUUGACCAUGAUCCACCAAAAGCACAGAAGAGGGACAAUCUAUCGAGGCCCACCCACCACCAAAGAGAAAAAGAGAGAGAAGGAGAGAAGCUGGACAAAAAAAUAUUAGAAUAUAAAUUAAUUGGAAAUUUAAGGCUGAAAAAGCAAGAAUAUUGAAAAAAAGCUUGGGUUAUGUAACCACUAGGAU
rnacentral:lncRNA from 1 species